rnacentral:misc_RNA from 1 species
GCAAACUUGGUCAUUUAGAGGAAGUAAAAGUCGUAACAAGGUUUCCGUAGGUGAACCUGCGGAAGGAUCAUUAACGAAUAGUGAGGACUUGGCUGUCGCUGGCUCUCUCUGGGAGCAUGUGCACGCCUUGUUCAAACCUUUCAUUCUUUAACCUCCUGUGCACUUUUGUGGAUCGUAGAUGGAUAUCUCUCAAAGUAACAUUUGGUCUUGGGGUUUGCACCUAACACGCGCUCUCUCCUACAUCCGUCCGCGGUUCAUGUCUUUUUAUUACAAACUAUAUAAUACAACCUAGAAUGCUUAACAGUUGGGAACUUUUGUAACCCUUCUUAAAUCUUAUACAACUUUCAACAACGGAUCUCUUGGCUCUCGCAUCGAUGAAGAACGCAGC